AGUGAACGCUGGCGGUAGGCCUAACACAUGCAAGUCGAACGGCAGCACAGUAAGAGCUUGCUCUUACGGGUGGCGAGUGGCGGACGGGUGAGGAAUACAUCGGAAUCUACUUUUUCGUGGGGGAUAACGUAGGGAAACUUACGCUAAUACCGCAUACGACCUACGGGUGAAAGCAGGGGAUCUUCGGACCUUGCGCGAUUGAAUGAGCCGAUGUGGGAUUGGGUAGUUGGCGGGGUAAAGGCCCACCAAGGCGACGAUCCGUAGCUGGUCUGAGGGGAUGAUAAGCCACACUGGAACUGAGACACGGUCCAGACUCCUACGGGAGGCAGCAGUGGGGAAUAUUGGACAAUGGGCGCAAGCCUGAUCCAGCCAUACCGCGUGGGUGAAGAAGGCCUUCGGGUUGUAAAGCCCUUUUGUUGGGAAAGAAAAGCAGCAGGUUAAUACCCCGCUGUUCUGACGGUACCCAAAGAAUAAGCACCGGCUAACUUCGUG
rnacentral:rRNA from 1 species